AGAUUCACUAUUUUUGAUGGAAUGUUGAAGUAAUCGUGACUGGGUUUAUAGUUUGUCUUUGAGCUUUGUAUUUGCAAAUUGCAGUUCUUCGAAUCCAUGCCUUUCUCGAAAUUCAAUUGGACUCGUUUCCUGCAAAAGAUUGGUUCACUUGGAUUACUUAUUGAGCAGUUGGGGUAAUUCAAGAAAAAAUGUCUUAUGGUGCGUGUUUUUCUGGGGAAUGACAGCCACAGUCUUAAUCAUCGAUUACUGUAUAUAAGAAAUCAAAACUGACUUAUUAUAAAACUAGGAGGGCGGCACACCUUCUUCGCUUUGCAAAUGCAGAUGAUGGUGUUACUCUCAAUGGAAGUCCCUCAGCAUGUACCAGUACUGAUGUAGAUGAAAUUAGAGUCAAAUUUAAUCAGUCAUUGCAAGUUGAAGACAAUGGUGAUAGGCUUGUUCAAUCUUUACAUGAUGCAGCCAGGGUUUUUGAGUUGGCUAUUAACGAACAGGGCUUUCUUUCAAAAUUAUCCUGCUUUUCAAUAGCUUGGCUUGCUCUAGACAGGAAUGCAUGGGUAAAAACACAAUCUUACCAGUUUACUGCGACAAUCAGCUCCAUUGUAGAGUUUAAUCAGGGAAAAACUAUCUGCCAAGCAUCCUGAGGCUUAUGAAUGGCUUUGGUCCUAGCAAGUCCCAGCUUUGGUGGCAUCAUUUGUUAAUUAUUUUGAAGGAGACCUACUCUUUAUUGCUGCCACUGCUCUGUUACUGUAGUUGGGCAUGCUGCUAUCCAGAGAUAUGUGCCAGCUUUGGCCUGUGGUUUCUGACGAUAUUAAAUGCCGUUAAAAUUAUUGUGUGAAUGUCAAAUCGCUUACCAUCGGGACAAAUCUUAUGCUGUUUGGCAGAUACCUUCUACUUAUGGACCAGAAAGGUUAGAGCUCUAGAGGCAGCUUGAGAAAGUGAAGGAAAUGGAAACCAGCGAAGCUGAUGCCAAUGAGAAUGAAAAGGAAUGAGCCUAGUUAGAAGCAAGCCCUGAUUAUAUACAGCCUUGACAAUAUUAAAGAACUUUCAAGGCAAGCAACCAAGAAAUUGUCCAUUUUUCCUUUUUGGCCAGGUAACAUCACUUGGUUCUGAAUCCCAGGGACAGUAAAUGAGCAUAUAGGAUUUCAUUCCAUACAUCUGGUAUCCCGGGCAAGCACCAGUGGCUGCAGUCUUGUGGAGCAGGAACUGGAGUGCCUGGCUCGCGAUGGACUGAAGGGUGCCCAUCAAACCUGAACUGUGUCAGAUAUGUGAUGUUUAAGUACUGAACCUUGCUAUUUCUGUAUUCUAAUUCCAUUUGUUUGAUUAUAUCAGAAAUCAAUUGAUUAUUCACUGGCUCA